UACGGGGGGUGCAAGCGUUACUCGGAAUCACUGGGCGUAAAGAGCAUGUAGGCGGAUUAAUAAGUUUGAAGUGAAAUCCUAUAGCUUAACUAUAGAACUGCUUUGAAAACUGUUAAUCUAGAAUGUGGGAGAGGUAGAUGGAAUUUCUGGUGUAGGGGUAAAAUCCGUAGAGAUCAGAAGGAAUACCGAUUGCGAAGGCGAUCUACUGGAACAUUAUUGACGCUGAGAUGCGAAAGCGUGGGGAGCAAACAGGAUUAGAUACCCUGGUAGUCCACGCCCUAAACGAUGUACACUAGUUGUUGUGAGACUUGAUCUUGCAGUAAUGCAGUUAACACAUUAAGUGUACCGCCUGGGGAGUACGGUCGCAAGAUUAAAACUCAAAGGAAUAGACGGGGACCCGCACAAGCGGUGAAGCAUGUGGUUUAAUUCGACGAUACACGAAGAACCUUACCUGGACUUGACAUAGUAAGAACUUUCUAGAGAUAGAUUGGUGUCUGCUUGCAGAAACUUAUAUACAGGUGCUGCACGGCUGUCGUCAGCUCGUGUCGUGAGAUGUUGGGUUAAGUCCCGCAACGAGCGCAACCCUCGUGUUUAGUUGCUAACAGUUCGGCUGAGAACUCUAAACAGACUGCCUACGCAAGUAGGAGGAAGGUGAGGACGACGUCAAGUCAUCAUGGCCCUUACGUCCAGGGCUACACACGUGCUACAAUGGGAUAUACAAAGAGCGGCAAUACGGCGACGUGGAGCAAAUCUUAUAAAAUAUCUUCCAGUUCGGAUUGUAGUCUGCAACUCGACUACAUGAAGUUGGAAUCGCUAGUAAUCGUAGAUCAGCUAUGCUACGGUGAAUACGUUCCCGGGUCU
rnacentral:rRNA from 1 species